AUGUAUGACCCUGGCGGCAGCUCGUCGUCCCGGCCGCGCGGCAAGGAGGAGCUGCAGCCGGAGGUUGUUCUCUACACGGCGACGGCGUCAGCGUCCCGCCGCAGAGGGCGCACGUCCGCCGACCGCUACGCCUUGUGCGCCCUGCUGCGUGGCUACGGCCUGGCCGUGGAUGUGCGCGACGUGUCGAGGAGCAAAGCACACCGCUGCGAGCUCAAGUCGUUGCUUGCAGCUCGGGGCUGCGCCUUCUCGCUCCCGCAGCUCCUCGUGGGCGGCCGGCUUGUCGGCGGCCCUGACGAUGUUAGGCAGCUGCACCAGGACGGCGGGCUGCGGCCUCUCCUCGACGGCGCCCCAAGGCCAUACGCCGUCUUCGUCUGCCAAGCCUGUAAGAGGGUCGGCUCCGAACCCUGUGAAGACUGCAGCGACUCCCGCAACAAGAUGCUGGAUCAUGUCAUUCUUGAGAAGGAGGAUGAGCAGGAGAGGGUUGUCCUGUUUUAUCCAACACAAGGUGACACUUCCUUUCUCUCCUUUUUUUUAUCCAUCUACUGCUUUUCUUUUCUUGAUGCGCUAAACCCUGCUGCUGUUAAACGGCAUGUACUUGCGCCUCUUCAUGAUGACUUGGUCGAGCUGACUUCUUCUGCUAGUGAGUUUAGCUGA
rnacentral:rRNA from 1 species